UUGGUAAGAGAUUGCCAGAGAGAACACAGGAGACCAAAUCGACACACGAAGGCCUCUGCAGAGAAGUAGGACAAGGAAGAGAAUCAAAAGCAGUGGUGAGGACCACCUCACUGCAGAACCAAUGUCCAGUGAGCACCGGAGAGACAUUGGAGGGUGGGAGAAAGGGGACAGGUCACGUCGUCUCCCUCGGGGGCCCUUUGGCAUCCAGGUGAGGAUGACAGGGUCUAGGAGCAGCAGGGCCCUUCCUGCCAUUGGGGCUGCAAACAAGACUACAUGAGUGCCCAGGCCCUAUGUCCCCAGCCUGCACAUGAGCCUUCAGGCACUUGGAACUCAUCUUCCGCAUGCAUUGAUGUACUUAUUUCCUAGGAAUCCUUGGGUGGACCACUCCAGCUUUGAAAAAGAGCCCUCAAGGGGCAGAGAAUAUGGCCAAACAAGGAAAUGAAAAGACAGCUGUUCAGGAAACUAAAACACAACCUAUCAUUAGGUGAGAUGUUUUGCACUUGGGAUGAGCUUCUCAGAAAAUUAUGAAUUCCUCAAAGGCUUCUUCUGGGUCUGGGGCAACACAGGACCAGUAUAAAAGCCAUCGCAGCUCUUCACUCCCUCAACACCUUUGAACUCCUUCUUCUCCUUUGGAAGUGCAGCUCCAGCCACAAGACAUGUUCUGCUGCAACCCCUGCCUGCCCUGCCAGCCGUGCGGCCCAACCCCACUGGCCAACAGCUGCAAUGAGCCCUGUUGCAGGCAGUGCCCGAGCUCCAAUGUUGUCAUUGAGCCCUCCCCCGUGGUGGUGACCCUGCCUGGUCCCAUCCUCAGCUCCUUCUCACAGAACACCAUUGUGGGCUCCUCCACCUCUGCUGCUGCUGGCAGAAUCCUCAGCUGUAAUGGAGUGCCCAUCAACUCUGGGUGCUGUGACCUCUCCUGCUUCAGCAACCGCUACUGUGGCACGAGGUGCCUGCCCUGCUAAAACUGCCACAGGUGUCCACCCUGAACGAUUCCCAGGAACCCAGAAGAUGGUAACGGGCUGAACAUGGAGAUCCUGGCCGUUGCAUUCAGAGGGACUCAGCAUUCUCGGCUUUACCUGCAAAGGCAGGCAUGAAGAGGUGUGCCUGGACUCUCUGAAAACAUAGCCCUUGUCUAACUUGCUUUUUUCUCACUCUCAUGUCUCUCUCUCUUCUCUGUCACUUGUUCUUCUCCCCUGGGCUGUGAGUACCUGUUAAACCUCAUCCGUGGAAGGAUCUGCUGCCCCAUUCCAUCUUGGAGGCAGUCAGGCAGACAGAUGCCCUGUGCUAAGUCCACCCUGUCUAAGGGGCAAGGCCCCAGCUACUCUUGGUUUACCCUGCAUCGUGACCCCCACUCAGGGGAUGUCCUUUCCCUCUUUCAACUCAUUAAAGUUCUUCUGCAUUCUAA